GAGGCAUGAGGCAGUAAGUCGGAGGGUUGCAGAGCUCGUUAACCCUCCGACUUACUGCCUCAUGCCUC
rnacentral:pre_miRNA from 1 species